rnacentral:rRNA from 1 species
AUCUGGUACCACGCCCCUGAGAAGCUUCUCACACGAGUCGAGUUUUUUUAGACGGCAGCUCUAAACGCGCAAUCACUUUCAUAAAAAAUUUAAAUAUUCCCAGAGGUUGAUAGCGCACAAGUAGAGAGAUAGAAAGACAGAACCCACUUUGAAGAGAGAGCCACAGUGUGGGUAAAAUUGUAAAAACAUAGCGCUAUCAAACUGCCGGUGACGAGGGUGAUCACCCGGUAUUUUUACCGGCCCACUCACCCGAGGUCAGCCCAGCCUCGGGGGGGGGGGCUGGUAAAAAUCCCGGGGAAUCUCCCUCGUCUCGGGGAGUGUUAUAGCCAGAGGUGCCAUGCAGCCCGCCCGGACCGAGGACCGCGUUUCGGCUAGGAUGCUGGCGUAAUGGUUGUAAGCGACCCGUCUUGAAACACGGACCAAGGAGUCUAACAUCUAUGCGAGUGUUUGGGUGUCAAACCCAUGCGCGUAAUGAAAGUGAACGGAGGUGGGAACCCUCAAGGGUGCACCAUCGACCGAUCCUGAUGUCUUCGGAUGGAUUUGAGUAAGAGCAUAGCUGGUGGGACCCGCUAUGCCUGAAUAGGGUGAAGCCAGAGGCUCGCAGCGGUUCUGACGUGCAAAUCGAUCCUCAAAU